rnacentral:rRNA from 1 species
UACGUAGGGGGCAAGCGUUGUCCGGAUUUAUUGGGCGUAAAGAGCGUGUAGGCGGCCAAGCAGGUCAGCUGUGAAAACUCGAGGCUCAACCUCGAGACGUCGGUUGAAACCGCUUGGCUAGAGUCCGGAAGAGGAGAGUGGAAUUCCCGGUGUAGCGGUGAAAUGCGCAGAUAUCGGGAAGAACACCUAUGGCGAGGGCAGCUCUCUGGGACGGUACUGACGCUGAGGCGCGAAAGCGUGGGGAGCAAACGGG